rnacentral:RNase_P_RNA from 1 species
CAGGACAGGCACGCAACUUACAAGUUAACUACUUGAGGAAAGUCCGAGCUCCUCUGGGCAGGGUGCUGGUUAAUUGCCAGAGAGGGAAACCUCUGGAUAGGGCCACAGAAACAAACUACUAUCUACGGAUAGUACAGGUGAAAAGGCGAGGUAAAAGCUCACCGGCAGAAGAGCGAUCUUCUGGCCAGGCAACCCCCACCCGGAGCAAGGCCAAAUAGGGAAGGAGACAGCCCAGGUCGUUAAUACUUCCGGGUAGGCCGCAAGAGGCUGAGAGAAACUUCAGCCCAAGAUAAAUGGUUGCGAUCCCUUUGGGAUACAGAACUCGGCUUAUAGCCUGUCCUGUUUU